rnacentral:rRNA from 1 species
UACGGGGGGGGCAAGCGUUGUUCGGAAUUACUGGGCGUAAAGGGCUCGUAGGUGGCCAACUAAGUCGGACGUGAAAUCCCUCAGCUUAACUGGGGAACUGCGUCUGAUACUGGUUGGCUUGAGUGCAGGAGAGGAACGCGGAAUUCCAGGUGUAGCGGUGAAAUGCGUAGAUAUCGGAAGGAACAUCAGUGGCGAAAGCGGCUUCCUGGACCAGCACCGACGUUCAGGCACGAAAGCGUGGGGAGCAAACAGG